UUUUGAAGCUUUGUGGAGCAGAGGUGCACCAUGGCUUGCCACAAGGUCACAACUGGUCCCUGGAGAGCCGCUGGUGGUGACGGGCUGCCUGUGCCCUCUCUGCGGCAAAACUCCACACAUACUCCACUCACCAAGUUCCAGAGGAGAGGAUCACCGGCCGUACUAAAGGAAGUGGCUCUAUGUAGGGAUGGAACAUGG
rnacentral:lncRNA from 1 species